rnacentral:rRNA from 1 species
UACGAAGGGGGCUAGCGUUGUUCGGAUUUACUGGGCGUAAAGCGCACGUAGGCGGUUUGCUAAGUCAGGGGUGAAAUCCUGGAGCUCAACUCCAGAACUGCCCUUGAUACUGGCGGUCUCGAGUCCGGGAGAGGUGAGUGGAACUGCGAGUGUAGAGGUGAAAUUCGUAGAUAUUCGCAAGAACACCAGUGGCGAAGGCGGCUCACUGGCCCGGUACUGACGCUGAGAUGCGAAAGCGUGGGGAGCAAACAGG